GGUCUGAAAAACGAUAUUCAUUGUCCUAAUGUGUAAAUUUCGACAAUUUGCAAAUUUGUAGAUUCUUUAGAAUGGAACUAACUCAAGCCCUUCAUUCUGCAGCUGAGGCUCACUGCCCCCAGUGGGCAGUGGGUCCAGGGCUUUCUGAGGACAGGGCAUGACCCAGCCCUGCUGCCCCCAAGAUGGCACCUGGCUUGGAGGGGUGAGGGGCCCUGUUAGUCUGACUUUGAAGAAGACCAGCCUUCCAGACUCGCUUGGUGCCCUGACAGGAGCCCUAGGCUCCCCCAGUGUUGCCUGGAUCUGACUUUGCCUCAGUGAAAACCGCCUCGAAUUCUUUCUUGCACCGAUGGGCAGAUGGGCAGUGUCAGAGGAUCGUGUCAUCUGUCCCGUGGUGCUGGUUGGCUUGGUCAAGUCAGUGUUCAAACUAUCUCCUGCUCUUUCAAGGGGAUCUGGGGCUCUAGAAGAUUAGAGGACUUUGAGAGGUUAGUGACUUGCUC
rnacentral:lncRNA from 1 species